rnacentral:rRNA from 1 species
UACGUAGGGUGCAAGCGUUAAUCGGAAUUACUGGGCGUAAAGCGUGCGCAGGCGGUUUUGUAAGUCUGUCGUGAAAUCCCCGGGCUCAACCUGGGAAUGGCGAUGGAGACUGCAAGGCUGGAAUCUGGCAGAGGGGGGUAGAAUUCCACGUGUAGCAGUGAAAUGCGUAGAGAUGUGGAGGAACACCGAUGGCGAAGGCAGCCCCCUGGGCUAAGAUUGACGCUAAUGCACGAAAGCGUGGGGAGCAAACAGG